rnacentral:rRNA from 1 species
AGAGUUUGAUCCUGGCUCAGGACGAACGCUGGCGGCGUGCCUAACACAUGCAAGUCGAGCGAAGUUUAAUGGACAGCGGCUUCGGCCAACGUCUAUUAAACUUAGCGGCGGACGGGUGAGUAACACGUAGGCAACCUGCCCAUGACACGGGGAUAGCUUCGGGAAACCGGAGGUAAUACCCGAUACCUUUACUUACUGCAUGGUAAGUAAAGAAAGCGACUUAGCGGUCAUGGAUGGGCCUGCGUCCCAUUAGCUAGUUGGUGAGAUAACAGCUCACCAAGGCGACGAUGGGUAGCCGACCUGAGAGGGUGACCGGCCACACUGGAACUGAGACACGGUCCAGACUCCUACGGGAGGCAGCAGUGGGGAAUAUUGCGCAAUGGGCGAAAGCCUGACGCAGCGACGCCGCGUGAGCGAAGAAGGCCUUCGGGUCGUAAAGCUCAGUCAUUGGGGAUGAGUAGACAGUACCCAAGGAGGAAGCCCCGGCUAACUACGUGCCAGCAGCCGCGGUAAUACGUAGGGGGCGAGCGUUGUCCGGAAUUACUGGGUGUAAAGGGCGUGUAGGCGGGGAUGCAAGUUACCGGUAAAAACCCGCGGCUCAACCACGGGCUUGCCGGUAAAACUGUAUCUCUUGAGUGUAGGAGAGGGAAGUGGAAUUCUCCGGAGUAGCGGUGAAAUGCGUAGAUACCGGGAGGAACACCAGUGGCGAAGGCGGCUUCCUGGCCUACUACUGACGCUGAGGCGCGAAAGCUAGGGGAGCGAACGGGAUUAGAUACCCCGGUAGUCCUAGCCGUAAACGAUGGUCACUAGGUGUGGGUGGUGGUCAAGCCAUCCGUGCCGGAGCUAACGCAAUAAGUGACCCACCUGGGGAGUACGGCCGCAAGGCUGAAACUCAAAGGAAUUGACGGGGGCCCGCACAAGCAGUGGAGUAUGUGGUUUAAUUCGAAGCAACGCGAAGAACCUUACCAGGGCUUGACAUCCCUUGACCGCUGUAGAAAUACAGUUUCCCUUCGGGGCAAGGAGACAGGUGGUGCAUGGUUGUCGUCAGCUCGUGUCGUGAGAUGUUGGGUUAAGUCCCGCAACGAGCGCAACCCCUGUCGUUAGUUGCCAGCACGUAGAGGUGGGCACUCUAGCGAGACUGCCGGUGACAAAUCGGAGGAAGGUGGGGACGACGUCAAAUCAUCAUGCCCCUUAUGUCCUGGGCUACACACGUACUACAAUGGUUGCUACAGAGGGCAGCGAAGCCGCGAGGUGGAGCAAAUCCCUAAAAGCAGCCCCAGUUCGGAUUGCAGGCUGAAACUCGCCUGCAUGAAGUCGGAAUUGCUAGUAAUGGCAGGUCAGCAUACUGCCGUGAAUACGUUCCCGGGCCUUGUACACACCGCCCGUCACACCAUGAGAGUCGGCAACACCCGAAGUCAGUAGUCUAACCGCAAGGGGGACGCUGCCGAAGGUGGGGCGUGAUGAUUGGGGUGAAGUCGUAACAAGGUAGCC